AAAAUAAUCCCUCCGUCCAGAAAUACUUGUCAUUGAAAUGGAUGUAUCUAGAUGUAUUUUAGUUCUAGAUACAUCCAUUUUCAUCCAUUUUGAUGACAAGUAUUUCCGGACGGAGGGAGUAGAAU
rnacentral:pre_miRNA from 1 species